rnacentral:rRNA from 1 species
UACGUAGGUGACAAGCGUUAUCCGGAUUUAUUGGGCGUAAAGCGCACGCAGGCGGCUGAUUAAGUCUGACGUGAAAUCUCUUGGCUUAACCGGGAGCGGUCGUUGGAAACUAAUCGGCUUGAGGCGAUGAGAGGGGUGUGGAAUUCCCGGUGUAGUGGUGGAAUGCGUAGAUAUCGGGGGGAACAUCAGUGGCGAAAGCGGCACCCUGGCAUUUGCCUGACGCUCAUGUGCGAAAGCGUGGGGAGCGAACGGG